rnacentral:rRNA from 1 species
UACGAAGGGGGCUAGCGUUGCUCGGAAUCACUGGGCGUAAAGGGUGCGUAGGCGGGUCUUUAAGUCAGGGGUGAAAUCCUGGAGCUCAACUCCAGAACUGCCUUUGAUACUGAAGAUCUUGAGUUCGGGAGAGGUGAGUGGAACUGCGAGUGUAGAGGUGAAAUUCGUAGAUAUUGGGUGGAACACCGGUGGCGAAAGCGGCUCACUGGUCCGGUUCUGACGCUGAGGCGCGAAAGCGUGGGGAGCAAACAGG